AAUGAACGCUGGCGGCAUGCCUAACACAUGCAAGUCGAACGAAGGCUUCGGCCUUAGUGGCGCACGGGUGCGUAACGCGUGGGAAUCUGCCCUUGGGUUCGGAAUAACAGUUAGAAAUGACUGCUAAUACCGGAUGAUGUCGUAAGACCUAAGAUUUAUCGCCCAAGGAUGAGCCCGCGUAGGAUUAGCUAGUUGGUGGGGUAAAGGCCUACCAAGGCGACGAUCCUUAGCUGGUCUGAGAGGAUGAUCAGCCACACUGGGACUGAGACACGGCCCAGACUCCUACGGGAGGCAGCAGUGGGGAAUAUUGGACAAUGGGCGAAAGCCUGAUCCAGCAAUGCCGCGUGAGUGAUGAAGGCCUUAGGGUUGUAAAGCUCUUUUACCCGGGAUGAUAAUGACAGUACCGGGAGAAUAAGCUCCGGCUAACUUCGUG
rnacentral:rRNA from 1 species